AGAGCUUCCUGUCAGCGGUGGGGGCGGGACUUCUGGUUCGCUUAAAGUGACCAACAAAUCGGAAAGAGAAUCAGAACCGGACCCGGGCGGCGACCAUGGAGCCGGCGGUGAACGGGACGGAGCGGCGCUGGAUCCGGCCCGACCUGCCGAGCCGCUGCACCUGGAGCCUGGGGAGCCCCGCGGGGGCGAGCCCGAGCCCGCACCCCCACCGGAGCGCGUCUCCGCCCCCGAACAUCCUGCCCAGUGUCCUCAGUAAGGUGGGCAACACUCCAAUGGUGCGUCUCAACAAGAUCCCCCGAGCGCACGGACUGCAGUGUGAGCUGUUGGCCAAGUGUGAAUACUUCAAUGCUGGUGGCAGCGUGAAGGAUCGAAUCGCUGUGCGAAUGGUGGAGGAUGCAGAGAGAGCAGGGACACUCAAACCGGGGGACACAAUCAUCGAACCCACCUCAGGAAAUACAGGGAUCGGGCUGGCUCUGGCUGCUGCAGUGAAAGGAUAUCGCUGCAUCAUCGUGCUGCCAGAGAAGAUGAGCAUGGAGAAGGUGGAUGUGCUGCGUGCACUUGGUGCAGAGAUUGUCCGAACGCCCACCCAAGCAAGCUUCGAUUCACCAGAGUCCCAUGUUGGUGUUGCUUGGAGGUUGAAGAAUGAAAUCCCCAAUUCGUGCAUCCUGGACCAGUAUCGGAAUCCCAGUAACCCGUUGGUCCAUUAUGAUCAAACUGCAGAAGAGAUCCUCUGGCAGUGUGAUGGGAAGGUGGACAUGGUUGUUGCUGGAGCGGGAACUGGAGGAACCAUCACUGGAAUUGCUCGAAAGCUGAAGGAGAAAUGUCCAAACUGCCAGAUUAUUGGAGUGGAUCCAGAGGGUUCCAUCCUAGCAGAACCUGAACAUCUGAACCAAACAGACAUCAGCACGUAUGAAGUGGAAGGAAUAGGCUACGAUUUCAUUCCUACAGUUCUUGACCGAUCGGUUGUGGAUAAAUGGUACAAAAGCAACGAUGAAAGCUCAUUUCAAAUGGCACGCCAGCUGAUCAGGGAAGAGGGACUGCUGUGUGGUGGGAGUUCAGGGAGUGCCGUUUGUGCUGCUGUUCAGGCAGCCCGAAGCCUGAAGCAAGGUCAGCGAUGUGUGGUCAUCCUCCCUGACUCCAUCCGCAACUACAUGUCCAAGUUCCUCAGUGACAAAUGGAUGGUACAGAAGGGAUUCCAACAGAAACUUCCAGAACUUGGCCAGAAGCCCUGGUGGUGGAAGGUUCAUGUUGAGCAGCUGAAGAUUGCACCUCCUCUGACUGUGCUGCCAUCUCUGUCCUGUCGGAAGACCAUGGAGAUUCUGCGUGAGAAAGGAUAUGAUCAGGCUCCUGUGGUCACUGAAGCAGGGCAGGUCCUGGGAGUGGUGACUCUCCAUCACAUGCUCAGCUCCAUUCUGACCGCAAAGAUUCAACAUGAUGAUCCAGUCAUUCAAGCUCUUAUCAAGCAGUUUCCGCAGGUGUCAACCUUGCGAGAUCUGGUGCUGGACAUGCUGAACAGUCAGACAGCUCUUCCCAUCGGUUGUGGGCAGUGAUGAGCUGGGAGCACUCUCCGUCAAACUGGACAGCAACCCCUUUGUUCUCGUCAUGGAUCAUCAGGCUGUGGCGGAUGGCUGCUGCCCAACCCAGCCCACAGUCACCGGCAUCGUCACGGCCAUCGACCUGUUGGACUUCGUCACCCAGGAGGGGGCUGUCCGCUCCGAGUGAAAUGGUGGGGGUCCUCGGCACCUGCACCUGGCUGCCACACACAGAUGAUCUGUCGGAGUGGGGUCCCACUCCUCUCACCGCUGGCUCUUGCUGGAACUCUCUGGAAUGUUCUUGAAGUGUGGGGCUCUCAUGUUGGAAUUCCAAUGUCUAAACCUGGACUCGGAGGUGAUCCACGCUGCUCUCUGUCCUCCCCUCUCCCCCUCUCCUUUCACCCCCACAGUCCUGUCUCCUUGAGUUUUAUCUGUUCUGUCAUUUGUGGGCCUUUGGUAUAGCCCCAGAAUUCACCAAACAACACCAACUUCUGUGCAACUAUAAUGAGAUGCUAAUUAAUGGUGAUUUCUGUAAGUCUAAUCAAUGACAAGCUCUGAUGUAACACACACGGAUUUAAUAAAGUAACAGAGACAC